UACGAAGGGUGCAAACGUUGCUCGGAAUUAUUGGGCGUAAAGCGCACGUAGGCGGCAUUGCAAGUCGGAUGUGAAAUCCCUCGGCUCAACCAAGGAAGUGCAUCCGAAACUGCUGUGCUUGAGUACUUAAGAGGAUCGCGGAAUUCCCGGUGUAGAGGUGAAAUUCGUAGAUAUCUGGAGGAACACCGGUGGCGAAGGCGGCAUCCUGGACCGAUACUGACGCUGAGGAGCGAAAGCCAGGGGAGCAAACGGG
rnacentral:rRNA from 1 species